rnacentral:rRNA from 1 species
UACGUAGGGGGCGAGCGUUGUCCGGAUUUAUUGGGCGUAAAGAGCGUGUAGGCGGCCAGGUAGGUCUGCUGUGAAAACUCGAGGCUCAACCUCGAGACGUCGGCGGAAACCAUCUGGCUAGAGUCCGGAAGAGGAGAGUGGAAUUCCUGGUGUAGCGGUGAAAUGCGUAGAUAUCGUUUGGAACGCCAAUGGUGAAAACAAGUAGCUGGGAGUGUGCCGACGCUGAGACACGAAAGCCAGGGGAGCGAACGGG